rnacentral:tRNA from 1 species
GCCCUGGUAGUCUAGUCUGGCCUAGGAUAUCGGAUUGUCACUCCGAUGACCCGGGUUCAAAUCCCGGCCGGGGCG